CCUACGGGAGGCAGCAGUGGGGAAUAUUGCACAAUGGGGGAAACCCUGAUGCAGCGACGCCGCGUGAAGGAAGAAGUAUUUCGGUAUGUAAACUUCUAUCAGCAGGGAAGAAAAUGACGGUACCUGACUAAGAAGCCCCGGCUAACUACGUGCCAGCAGCCGCGGUAAUACGUAGGGGGCAAGCGUUAUCCGGAUUUACUGGGUGUAAAGGGAGCGUAGGCGGUUUAGCAAGUCAGAAGUGAAAGCCCGGGGCUCAACUCCGGGACUGCUUUUGAAACUGUUGAACUAGAUUGCAGGAGAGGUAAGUGGAAUUCCUGGUGUAGCGGUGAAAUGCUUAGAUAUCAGGAGGAACAUCGGUGGCGUAAGCGCUUUACUGGGCCGUAAUUGACGCUGAGGAACGAAAGCCAGGGUAGCAAAUGGGAUUAGAUACCCCAGUAGUC
rnacentral:rRNA from 1 species